UACGUAGGGCGCAAGCGUUGUCCGGAAUUAUUGGGCGUAAAGAGCUCGUAGGCGGCUUGUCACGUCGGUUGUGAAAGCCCGGGGCUUAACCCCGGAUCUGCAGUCGAUACGGGCAGGCUAGAGUUCGGUAGGGGAGAUCGGAAUUCCUGGUGUAGCGGUGAAAUGCAUAGAUAUCGGGAAGAACACCAAAGGCGAAGGCGCCCUGCUGGGCCGAUAUUGACACUGACAGACGAAAGCUAGGGGAGCGAAUGGG
rnacentral:rRNA from 1 species